rnacentral:lncRNA from 1 species
GGGAAAACAGGGAGGAGGGGAGAAGGGGCCGGUCGCCGGCGAGCAGGGAAGCCCGCUUGCGUGCCAGAGCGCCGGCCUGUCCCACUGCCUUACUAAGUCCUUACCUACUUCGGCUGGGUUACCUCCCUCUGCCCUCCGCCGAGCGCCACAGGGGCCAGGCGGGGCAGCUGGAGAGCGGGCUGGCGUCACGGGGCCCACGCACCUGUGCGCUGGCAAAGGGGGCCCUGGGCUGCAUGUGCCAGAGGCCUAAAUGCCAGCAGCUGGGGACACCUAGGCGCGUUUAUUCUUCCCCAGUGAAUUUAAUCCUGUGUGCACGUGCUUUUGUGCGUAAUUCGCCAGCAAACUUCAAGCUGGGCUUAGCCAGUGAGGAGGUGGAGACCUGCAUCUGGAGAGACCCGAAGCCUGAGCCAGCGGCCUGAAAUGAUGAAGUUGCUCUCGAAAUUUUUGAGAUACGCCAAUGCUCCACUAGUA